AGUGAACGCUGGCGGUAGGCCUAACACAUGCAAGUCGAACGGCAGCACAGGAGAGCUUGCUCUCUGGGUGGCGAGUGGCGGACGGGUGAGGAAUACAUCGGAAUCUACUCUGUCGUGGGGGAUAACGUAGGGAAACUUACGCUAAUACCGCAUACGACCUACGGGUGAAAGCAGGGGACCUUCGGGCCUUGCGCGAUUGAAUGAGCCGAUGUCGGAGUAGCUAGUUGGCGGGGUAAAGGCCCACCAAGGCGACGAUCCGUAGCUGGUCUGAGAGGAUGAUCAGCCACACUGGAGCUGAGACACGGUCCAGACUCCUACGGUAGGCAGCAGUGGGGAAUAUUGGACAAUGGGCGCAAGCCUGAUCCAGCCAUACCGCGUGGGUGAAGAAGGCCUUCGGGUUGUAAAGCCCUUUUGUUGGGAAAGAAAUCCAGCUGGCUAAUACCCGGUUGGGAUGACGGUACCCAAAGAAUAAGCACCGGCUAACUUCGUGCCAGCCGCCGCCGUAA
rnacentral:rRNA from 1 species